AUGCAUCUCUGACAGAUCUGGAGCAGUUAAUGUCUGCUAAGGUUUCCACUACAGAUGCAAGUAAAAGAAGGCCCUGGCACUUUCUGUCUGUCUGGUUGUGAUAGCCAAGAUUGAAUGGGGGAAUACAGGA
rnacentral:snoRNA from 1 species